rnacentral:misc_RNA from 1 species
GAUGAAGAACGUAGCGAAAUGCGAUAAGUAAUGUGAAUUGCAGAAUUCAGUGAAUCAUCGAAUCUUUGAACGCACAUUGCGCCCGCCAGUAUUCUGGCGGGCAUGCCCGUUCGAGCGUCAUUUCAACCAUCAAGCCCUGCUUGCGUUGGGGUCCUGCGGCUGCCCGCAGGCCCUGAAAACCAGUGGCGGGCUCGCUAGUCACACCGAGCGCAGUAAUACAUCUCGCUUUGGGCGUGCGGCGGGUUCUUGCCGUUAAACACCCCCUUUUUACCAAGGUUGACCUCGGAUCAGGUAGGAAUACCCGCUGAACUUAAGCAUAUCAAUAAGCGGAGGA